GAAUUGCGAUAAGUAAUGUGAAUUGCAGAUUUUCAGUGAAUCAUCGAAUCUUUGAACGCACCUUGCGCUCCUUGGUAUUCCGAGGAGCAUGUCUGUUUGAGUGUCGUCGAGUUCUCAACCAAGCCCUUGGGUUUGGCUUGGAUCUGGAAGCUGCUGGCGGAGGUCGGCUCUUCUGAAAUGCAUUAGCGAUCUACUACGGCCUUCCGGCGUGAUAACGAUCGUCGACGGCUUUGAUCGCUUCCAACGGGAAUGAUAUAUAAUCUUGACCUCAAAUCAGACAGGACUACCCGCUGAACUUAA
rnacentral:rRNA from 1 species